rnacentral:rRNA from 2 species
ACGGGAGGCAGCAGUGGGGAAUAUUGGGCAAUGGGCGCAAGCCUGACCCAGCAACGCCGCGUGAAGGAUGAAGGUCUUCGGAUUGUAAACUUCUUUAAUCGGGGAAGAAAAAAAUGACCUACCCGAAGAAUAAGCCACGGCUAACUACGUGCCAGCAGCCGCGGUAAUACGUAGGUGGCAAGCGUUAUCCGGAUUUACUGGGUGUAAAGGGCGUGUAGGCGGAGCUGCAAGUCAGAUGUGAAAUCCCGGGGCUCAACCCCGGAACUGCAUUUGAAACUGUAGCCCUUGAGUAUCGGAGAGGCAAGCGGAAUUCCUAGUGUAGCGGUGAAAUGCGUAGAUAUUAGGAGGAACACCAGUGGCGAAGGCGGCUUGCUGGACGACAACUGACGCUGAGGCGCGAAAGCGUGGGGAGCAAACAGGAUUAGAUACCCUGGUA